UCGGGAAUUUUGGGCAAUGGGGGAAACCCUGACCCAGCAACGCCGCGUGAAGGAUGAAGUAUUUCGGUAUGUAAACUUCGAAAGAAUAGGAAGAAUAAAUGACGGUACUAUUUAUAAGGUCCGGCUAACUACGUGCCAGCAGCCGCGGUAAUACGUAGGGACCAAGCGUUGUUCGGAUUUACUGGGCGUAAAGGGCGCGUAGGCGGCAUGACAAGUCACUUGUGAAAUCUCUGGGCUUAACCCAGAACGGCCAAGUGAUACUGUCGCGCUAGAGUGCAGAAGGGGCAAUCGGAAUUCUUGGUGUAGCGGUGAAAUGCGUAGAUAUCAAGAGGAACACCUGAGGUGAAGACGGGUUGCUGGGCUGACACUGACGCUGAGGCGCGAAAGCCAGGGGAGCAAACAGGAUUAGAUACCCUUGUAGUCCCUGAGCGGGCUGGCAAGGCGCAU
rnacentral:rRNA from 1 species